rnacentral:rRNA from 1 species
UAAGGAAUAUUGCUCAAUGGGAGAAAUCCUGAAGCAGCAACGCCGCGUGGAGGAUGAAGGGUCUAUGACUUGUAAACUCCUGUAAAGAAGGAAAAAAUUCCCAUUUGAUGGGAGAUGAUGGUACUUCUGGAGUAAGCCCCGGCUAACUACGUGCCAGCAGCCGCGGUAAUACGUAGGGGGCAAGCGUUGUCCGGAUUUACUGGGUGUAAAGGGUGCUCAGGCGGAUUUGUAAGUCAGAGGUGAAAUCUUACAGCUUAACUGUGAAACUGCCUUUGAUACUGCAAGCCUAGAGUAUGGAAGAGAGUGAUGGAAUAUCUGGUGUAGCAGUAAAAUGCGUAGAUAUCAGAUAGAACACCAAUGGCGGAGGCAGUCACUUGGUCCAUUACUGACGCUAAAGCACGAAAGCGUGGGUGGCAAACA